UGAAUCUUCUGACACAGACCAUGAUGUGCCAGUAAGACAACCACAUGCAAAACCUGGGCCGUCCACAACUGUAACCAUGUCGGGUCAUCCCAAGAGGCUUCAGAAACUCGGUGAAGACCAGAGUCAUCUUUUGAAGACGCUGUUCAAAACGAAUAUUGCGUUGAGGAAGGAGCUUAAGCGUGAAGACUGUGAAAGAGUAAUGCAAAAAUAUGAAAUUCUACACGGAUUGUCAUGGAAAAAAAUUAAAAAACACGAUUCAUAACUGGAUUACUGCUGAAAAGUGAAAACAAAAAUGAUUUUAUAGCUUUUUAGCCCACCUGCGCACAAUGUUCUCAUGGUGAGCUUUUGUGAUCGCUUUUUGCCCGUUGUCCAUCUUGCGGCAUCAACAUUUGCCUUGUUAAUAUUCUAGAGGUCACAUUAAUUGUCCGAUCUUCAUGAAAUUUUAUUUGACGAUUUGUCCCAAUGAUAUCUUGGAAAAGAUUACAAAUGGUUUCGGUUGGUUGAAAAACAAUAAUUUACACGCCAUAUACUCCAUACUUAAAUCAAUAUUGUUAUAUGCAAAGCAGCAAUGCUUAAAAGAAAUAAUACAAAAUUGGGAGGGGGCAUUACUCGUAUGAAAACAAGAUGGUGGUAUUUGUUAUAAACACGUGUAAAACAGUUGGAUUUUUCUGGCCAAAGACAACUAUUCAUACGACCAACUUCUUAAUUUUUGCAUAGCUCGUCAUAUUGAUUUCCAUUCAGA